GGUCGCCCCAACUAAAAGGCAAGCAGGGAACUUUUUUCCUUUUAGUGUUAACAUGUAAAUCUAGUAAACUGUAUUUAGAUUUCUAUAAAAUCAGCUCUGGAUGCAAAAAUGAAUGCUUGAUUUACCAGGAUCUCCUUGGCCUCAACUGUCUAAAAGGGGACUGGACAAGAUGCUGAAGAAAACCGUAUUACUCCACACCAGGGGUCAGCAAGCUUUUGCUAUAAAAAGCCAGAUAAUAAACACAUUUGACCUUGCAGCCAAGUGGGCUCUGUUGCCACCACGCGGCUCUGCUGUCACGACCCUGAAGCAGCCGCGGAGAAUGACAAACAAAUGAACAUGGCUGUGUUCCGAUAAAACAUCAUUUACAAAAACAAGCAGUGGGCCAGAUUUGGGCUUUGGGCUGCAGCUUGC
rnacentral:lncRNA from 1 species